CCCAAGACUAAACCAGGAAGAAGUCGAAUCCCUGAAUAGGCCAAUAACAAGUUCUGAAAUAGAGGCAGUAAUAACCUACCAACCAAAAAAAGCCCAGGACCAGACAGAUUCACAGCCUUAUUCUACAAGAGGUACAAAGAGGAGCUGGUACCAUUCCUUCUGAAACUAUUCCAAACAACAGAGAAAGGGGAACUCCUCCCUACCUCAGAUGCUAACUGAGGCCAGCAUCAUCCUGAUACCAAAACCUGGCAGAGAUACA